UACGUAGGGGGCUAGCGUUGCUCGGAAUGACUGGGCGUAAAGGGCGCGUAGGCGGUUUGGACAGUCAGGUGUGAAAUUCCCGGGCUCAACCUGGGGGCUGCACUUGAUACGUAGGAACUGGAGUGGGGAAGAGGGUCGUGGAAUUCCCAGUGUAGAGGUGAAAUUCGUAGAUAUUGGGAAGAACACCGGUGGCGAAGGCGGCGACCUGGUCCUUGACUGACGCUGAGGCGCGAAAGCGUGGGGAGCAAACAGG
rnacentral:rRNA from 1 species